AUGAACGCUAGCUACAGGCUUAACACAUGCAAGUCGAGGGGCAGCAUGAACUUAGCUUGCUAAGUUUGAUGGCGACCGGCGCACGGGUGAGUAACACGUAUCCAACCUGCCGAUGACUCGGGGAUAGCCUUUCGAAAGAAAGAUUAAUACCCGAUGGCAUAGUUCUUCCGCAUGGUAGAACUAUUAAAGAAUUUCGGUCAUCGAUGGGGAUGCGUUCCAUUAGGUUGUUGGCGGGGUAACGGCCCACCAAGCCUUCGAUGGAUAGGGGUUCUGAGAGGAAGGUCCCCCACAUUGGAACUGAGACACGGUCCAAACUCCUACGGGAGGCAGCAGUGAGGAAUAUUGGUCAAUGGACGAGAGUCUGAACCAGCCAAGUAGCGUGAAGGAUGACUGCCCUAUGGGUUGUAAACUUCUUUUAUACGGGAAUAAAGUGAGGCACGCGUGCCUUUUUGUAUGUACCGUAUGAAUAAGGAUCGGCUAACUCCGUGCCAGCAGCCGCGGUAAUACGGAGGAUCCGAGCGUUAUCCGGAUUUAUUGGGUUUAAAGGGAGCGUAGGCGGACGCUUAAGUCAGUUGUGAAAGUUUGCGGCUCAACCGUAAAAUUGCAGUUGAUACUGGGUGUCUUGAGUACAGUAGAGGCAGGCGGAAUUCGUGGUGUAGCGGUGAAAUGCUUAGAUAUCACGAAGAACUCCGAUUGCGAAGGCAGCUUGCUGGACUGUAACUGACGCUGAUGCUCGAAAGUGUGGGUAUCAAACAGGAUUAGAUACCCUGGUAGUCCACACAGUAAACGAUGAAUACUCGCUGUUUGCGAUAUACAGUAAGCGGCCAAGCGAAAGCGUUAAGUAUUCCACCUGGGGAGUACGCCGGCAACGGUGAAACUCAAAGGAAUUGACGGGGGCCCGCACAAGCAGUGGAGUAUGUGGUUUAAUUCGAAGCAACGCGAAGAACCUUACCAGGGCUUGACAUAUACAGGAAUAUGCUAGAGAUAGUAUAGCUCUUCGGAGCUUGUAUACAGGUGGUGCAUGGUUGUCGUCAGCUCGUGUCGUGAGAUGUUGGGUUAAGUCCCGCAACGAGCGCAACCCUUAUCGAUAGUUACCAUCAGGUGAUGCUGGGGACUCUGUCGAGACUGCCGUCGUAAGAUGUGAGGAAGGUGGGGAUGACGUCAAAUCAGCACGGCCCUUACGUCCGGGGCUACACACGUGUUACAAUGGGGGGUACAGAAGGCAGCUACACGGCGACGUGAUGCUAAUCCCUAAAGCCUCUCUCAGUUCGGAUUGGAGUCUGCAACCCGACUCCAUGAAGCUGGAUUCGCUAGUAAUCGCGCAUCAGCCACGGCGCGGUGAAUACGUUCCCGGGCCUUGUACACACCGCCCGUCAAGCCAUGAAAGCCGGGGGUACCUGAAGUGCGUAACCGCGAGGAGCGCCCUAGGGUAAAACUGGUGAUUGGGGCU
rnacentral:rRNA from 1 species